AUUGAACGCUGGCGGCAGGCUUAACACAUGCAAGUCGAGCGGAGCGAGGGUGCUUGCACCUUAGCUUAGCGGCGGACGGGUGAGUAAUGCUUAGGAAUCUGCCUAUUAGUGGGGGACAACAUUCCGAAAGGAAUGCUAAUACCGCAUACGCCCUACGGGGGAAAGCAGGGGAUCUUCGGACCUUGCGCUAAUAGAUGAGCCUAAGUCGGAUUAGCUAGUUGGUGGGGUAAAGGCCUACCAAGGCGACGAUCUGUAGCGGGUCUGAGAGGAUGAGCCGCCACACUGGGACUGAGACACGGCCCAGACUCCUACGGGAGGCAGCAGUGGGGAAUAUUGGACAAUGGGCGGAAGCCUGAUCCAGCCAUGCCGCGUGUGUGAAGAAGGCCUUUUGGUUGUAAAGCACUUUAAGCGAGGAGGAGGCUCUUAAGGUUAAUACCCUUGAUGAGUGGACGUUACUUGCAGAAUAAGCACCGGCUUACUCUGUGCCAGCAGCCGCCGUAAAAC
rnacentral:rRNA from 1 species